rnacentral:lncRNA from 1 species
GUUUGUGCCCGAGGGUCCAGGCCGCAGCCUGGCGCUCAUCCCUCCACGGGGCCUCCUUUCUGUCUGGGGUGGAUGUGCAACGGGAAAUGAGCACAUGGGCUGGCUCGCCAGCCUCCCUGCUGGGUGGUUUCCCCCGUGUGGUGGCCAGGAGGAAAGGGGACCCUCAGGGACCUCCACUCGACAGUGACACUGCUUGCCUGCGUCCACGGGCCGUGCCGCCUCCCGCAGCUCCUCUCUUUCGUCCCAGGAUGGCUCCGUCCUGAGCCUGUCUCCCCCGCCAGAGGAGUCCAGCCGAGAGCAGCCGGACGACAGGAAGGACCUCCCGUGGGGGGCCCAGUUUGAGCCGAUGCUGCUGGAGACGGACAGCGACGGGUCCAAGUCAUCGAAAGCCACGCCGUCGAAAAAGCCGGGAAAGCAAGACUCCCUUCUCCCUCCGUCUUCUCUCCGCGUCCUGCUAACGCCUCCAGUCCACGAGAAGCCAGGCUCCCUGCGCGCGGAGAGGGUGGCGCCCAGCCUGCGCUCCCCGGGAGGCCCGGAGCCGGGAUCCCCACGGACAGCGGAGGCCCCGCUCAGCGCUCGGGCACUCAAGGAGAUGGCCGCCAGCACCAAGAGCAUCGCCCGCAUCGCGGCCACCCGGCGCUCCCGGGCGCAGGACCGCGAGGCCGGCAGUGGCCGCUCCUCCCGCCACCUUCCGGAGGAGGUGGCCCGGGGCCCCAGCCCGGCGGACAGGAGGUGGCCUCACGCCAGCCUGUGCAGGGACCACUCCGGGGAGAGGAAGGCCAGGAGCCAGCGGUCGCCCUCUGUCACGUGGAGCGUGCAGCCGGCGAUGGAGAAGCUUCAGCCCCCAUCCAUGGACCAUUCGGCUGAGAGCCGGCCGCCCCCUGUGCUCCCUCAGCUGUCCAAGUCAUCGGGAAAGAGCUUUUUCCCUGCUGUCCCAGCGGCCUCCAAGAUAAAGCCCAGCCUCAGUUUCCAUGCAGAUGACAACACGCUCCACGUGCCGGAGGUCAACUUCACCUUCCCCAGCGCCGUGUGGCAGAGCAGCAGCAGCCCCAGCAGGGUGCCCCUCCUGCCGCGGGACAUCCGAGGGUCUACAGACAGCGGAGGCCACCACCACAGCCCGCAGUCCCCCAGCAACGUCCGCAGGCACCGCAGCGGCAGCGCCAAG